rnacentral:rRNA from 1 species
UGGGGAAUAUUGCACAAUGGGCGCAAGCCUGAUGCAGCGACGCCGCGUGAGGGAUGGAGGCCUUCGGGUUGUAAACCUCUUUCGCCAGUGAAGCAGGCUAUCUUCUUUGUGGUGUGGUUGACGGGAGCUGGAUCAGAAGCGCCCGCCAACUACGUGCCAGCAGUCGCGGUAAUACGUAGGGCGCGAGCGGUCUCUGGUAUUAUUGGGCGUAAAGGGCUUGUAUGUGGCUUGUGGCGUCUGUCGUGAAAACCCCUGGCUUAACUGGGGGGUUGCGGUGGGUACGGGCCGGCUUGAGUGCGGUAGGAGGGACUGGAAUUCCGGGGGUAGCGGUGGAAUGCGCAGAUAUCAGGAGGAACACCGGUGGCGAAGGCGGGUCUCUGGGCCGUUACUGACACUGAGGAGCGAAAGCGUGGGGAGCGAACAGG